CCGGCCCUGAUAGUCAGUUCAACUAAUUGCUUAAUUACAACUGUUUACAUGUAUUGUUUUGUUUUACAGCUCAUACCCAAUGUGCAACAUAUAUUAUAGGACAACCCAAGCUGUAUCGCUAACAUGUGGAUGAAAUUGACACGUCGGGAGGGGGAUGAUGGGAAGGGUGAAUGCACGCAACCUGUGAUCAAUAUCAUAAGGCCAUCUAAAUGGAUGAACUUUACGUUGUGGAAGCCAAACUUGAGGCGAUUCUUAAAAACACCAAUGUUGGUCGACAAUCAAACUCAAACAAAAGGAGAUGCAAACGUAUGAUGUUGAGGUGCCUACUAGAUAUAUUGUGCUGUGGAUUUCAGUGAGUAUGCUUGAGGUGGCUGCAUGGACCUGGGGGACAUUAACAGAAAAUAGUAAAGAAGACUUUUGAAGCUGUCAUCUAAAAUCUUGGAACCCAGUUGCUCAUAUUUAUUUUUUUUAUUUUGUACUAUAUAUAUACACACACACCGAUAAACAAAUCACACGCCUUGCCUCCAUUAGGUUAGUCAUAGAUGUAACAGGAUGUUUUGGGAUCUCAGUCCCUAGAUACUCAAUACAACGAUUUAAUGUGAACAAGCAAGAAAACAGGUACACUCUACUAGGGUUGGUUUAUGUAAACAUAGAAUAUUUUGGAAAAGCUUUUUUUUUGUUCAUAGUUUAGUUUAUUAGUUACACAAGUAAUACAUACAGUCUGUUUAACAUUGCAUAUUAACUACCAGGAAUUAUGGUAACAUUUACAAAUAUGGCUGCCAGGCUUCCCAAUCCUGGCAGGUAUUAUCCCCUCUACCUAUUCCACUGCAGCUCUUCUUCCAGGCGGAUAUCCAGAACACUGCUUAUAAUGUGAUU